AUGUUACAAGGCGGGGACAUUUCUGCUGGAAACGGCAGUGGUGGGGAGUCAAUUUAUGGCUUGACAUUUGAAGAUGAAAAUUUCAAACUCAAACAUGAAAGAAAAGGAAUGCUUUCUAUGGCUAAUUCUGGUCCAAAUACAAACGGGUCUCAAUUUUUCAUCACCGCUUCUCAAACACAUGUUCUAGAUGGAAAGAAUGUUGUAU
rnacentral:misc_RNA from 1 species